rnacentral:rRNA from 1 species
UACGUAGGUGGCAAGCGUUGUCCGGAUUUACUGGGCGUAAAGAGCGCGCAGGCGGUCGUUCAAGUCGCGUGUGAAAGCCCCCGGCUCAACUGGGGAGGGUCACGCGAUACUGAUCGACUCGAAGGCAGGAGAGGGUAGUGGAAUUCCCGGUGUAGGGGUGAAAUCCGUUGAUAUUAUGGGGGAACACCAAAAGCGAAGGCAGCUUACUGGGACAUUACUGACACUGAAACAUGAAAGCGUGGGUAGCGAAUGGG